rnacentral:rRNA from 1 species
UACGUAGGGUGCGAGCGUUGUCCGGAAUUAUUGGGCGUAAAGAGCGUGUAGGCGGCCUGACAGGUCUGCUGUGAAAACUCGAGGCUCAACCUCGAGAUGUCGGCGGAAACCGUCUGGCUAGAGUCCGGAAGAGGAGAGUGGAAUUCCUGGUGUAGCGGUGGAAUGCGCAGAUAUCAGGAGGAACACCGGUGGCGAAGGCGGGUCUCUGGGCCAUUACUGACGCUGAGGAGCGAAAGCGUGGGGAGCGAACAGG